UACGUAGGGUGCGAGCGUUGUCCGGAAUUAUUGGGCGUAAAGAGCUCGUAGGCGGUCCGUCGCGUCGAUUGUGAAAACCCGGGGCUCAACUCCGGGCUUGCACUCGAUACGGGCGGACUAGAGUUCGGUAGGGGAGACUGGAAUUCCUGGUGUAGCGGUGAAAUGCGCAGAUAUCAGGAGGAACACCGAUGGCGAAGGCAGGUCUCUGGGCCACUACUGACGCUGAGAAGCGAAAGCGUGGGGAGCGAACAGG
rnacentral:rRNA from 1 species